rnacentral:rRNA from 1 species
AGUGAACGCUGGCGGUAGGCCUAACACAUGCAAGUCGAACGGCAGCACAGUAAGAGCUUGCUCUUACGGGUGGCGAGUGGCGGACGGGUGAGGAAUACAUCGGAAUCUACUUUUUCGUGGGGGAUAACGUAGGGAAACUUACGCUAAUACCGCAUACGACCUACGGGUGAAAGCAGGGGAUCUUCGGACCUUGCGCGAUUGAAUGAGCCGAUGUCGGAUUAGCUAGUUGGCGGGGUAAAGGCCCACCAAGGCGACGAUCCGUAGCUGGUCUGAGAGGAUGAUCAGCCACACUGGAACUGAGACACGGUCCAGACUCCUACGGGAGGCAGCAGUGGGGAAUAUUGGACAAUGGGCGCAAGCCUGAUCCAGCCAUACCGCGUGGGUGAAGAAGGCCUUCGGGUUGUAAAGCCCUUUUGUUGGGAAAGAAAAGCAGCAGGUUAAUACCCCGCUGUUCUGACGGUACCCAAAGAAUAAGCACCGGCUAACUUAGUG